rnacentral:misc_RNA from 1 species
GUUUAUUUUACCUUGUUGCUUCGGCGGGCCCGCCUUAACUGGCCGCCGGGGGGCUUACGCCCCCGGGCCCGCGCCCGCCGAAGACACCCUCGAACUCUGUCUGAAGAUUGUAGUCUGAGUGAAAAUAUAAAUUAUUUAAAACUUUCAACAACGGAUCUCUUGGUUCCGGCAUCGAUGAAGAACGCAGCGAAAUGCGAUACGUAAUGUGAAUUGCAAAUUCAGUGAAUCAUCGAGUCUUUGAACGCACAUUGCGCCCCCUGGUAUUCCGGGGGGCAUGCCUGUCCGAGCGUCAUUUCUGCCCUCAAGCACGGCUUGUGUGUUGGGCCCCGUCCUCCGAUCCCGGGGGACGGGCCCGAAAGGCAGCGGCGGCACCGCGUCCGGUCCUCGAGCGUAUGGGGCUUUGUCACCCGCUCUGUAGGCCCGGCCGGCGCUUGCCGAUCAACCCAAAUUUUUAUCCAGGUUGACCUCGGAUCAGGUAGGGAUACCCGCUGAACUUAAGCAUAUCAAUAAGGCGGAGGAA